UACAGAGGGGGCAAGCGUUGUUCGGAAUUACUGGGCGUAAAGGGCUCGUAGGUGGCCAACUAAGUCAGACGUGAAAUCCCCAGGCUCAACUUGGGAACUGCGUCUGAUACUGGAUGGCUUGAAUUCGGGAGAGGGAUGCAGAAUUCCAGGUGUAGCGGUGAAAUGCGUAGAUAUCUGGAGGAAUACCGGUGGCGAAGGCGGCAUCCUGGACCGAGAUUGACACUGAUGAGCGAAAGCUAGGGGAGCAAACGGG
rnacentral:rRNA from 1 species